UGGGGAAUUUUGGACAAUGGGGGAAACCCUGAUCCAGCCAUCCCGCGUGUGCGAUGAAGGCCUUCGGGUUGUAAUGCACUUUUGUCAGGAAAGAAACGUCAUGGGUUAAUACCCCGUGAAACUGACGGUACCCGCAGAAUAAGCACCGGCUAACUACGUGCCAGCAGCCGCGGUAAUACGUAGGGUGCAAUCGUUAAUCGGAAUUACUGGGCGUAAUGCGUGCGCAGGCGGUUCGGAAAGAAAGAUGUGAAAUCCCAGAGCUCGACUUUGGAACUGCAUUUUUAACUACCGGGCUAGAGUGUGUCGGAGGAAGGUGGAAUUCCGCGGGUAGCAGUGAAAUGCGUAUAUAUGCGGAGGAACACCGAUGGCGAAGGCGGCCUCCUGGGAUAAAACAGACGCUCAUGCACGAAAGCGUGGGGAGCGAACAGG
rnacentral:rRNA from 1 species